AUUCUAUUGUUCUAUAAAAUGAAUAGUUAAAUGCAGAAUCUGGACGUGUCACAUUAGCGACUUAUAAGAAAAAUGAA